GGGUUUCUUUUUUUCUUUUCUUUUUUGGACCUUAAAUUUUAUUUUGUUUUAUAUAUAAAAAAAACCAGUUAACACAUCAGAUAACAUGUUUAAUUCUAUACCCAAAGACAAGAGCUCGACCAAGCGUCUUUAAAGGUUGUUUACUAACUCGACCAAGAGGAGAGGAGGGAGGCUCGGACUAUCAUGGGGGUUAUUCGGAUUCCAACCCGAGUAGUGGGGCAUUUCGCCUCCCCAUAGUUUGUGAAGGGCGGCCUGCGCGCCAAGAAGCCCCUGGCCUGUGUGCCCCUUUCCUUUCACUUUGAGUUUUGUUUUGAUUGGCCGUGUACCGGCCCUGCAUGUAUGGCCGAUGGCCCCUUUUGAUCAAUAGACUGCAUGCCCUUUCGCUUAUUUGUAUUCUCUUUUCUCUUUGGCUAAUCACAGUUAGAAUCUUCGUUAAAAUUUGGAUACUUUUGAUAGUAAUAUUCAAGCACAUAAUAGAAGUUGAAUCAAGUUAAA
rnacentral:lncRNA from 1 species